rnacentral:rRNA from 1 species
GUCUACGGCCAUGCUACCCUGAACAAGCCCGAUCCUGUCUGAUCUCGGAAGCUAAGCAGGGUCGGGCCUGGUUAGUACUUGGAUGGGAGACCACCUAGGAAGACCAGGUGCUGUAGGCA